UACGGAGGAUCCGAGCGUUAUCCGGAUUUAUUGGGUUUAAAGGGUGCGCAGGCGGGGGAUUAAGUCGGCGGUGAAAUUUUGCAGCUCAACUGUAAAAGUGCCUUCGAAACUGGUUUCCUUGAGUGUAGAUGAAGUAGGCGGAAUUUGUGGUGUAGCGGUGAAAUGCUUAGAUAUCACGAGGAACUCCGAUUGCGCAGGCAGCUUACUAAACUACUACUGACGCUCAGGCACGAAGGCGUGGGGAUCAAACAGGAUUAGAUACCCGUGUAGUCCCUGA
rnacentral:rRNA from 1 species